rnacentral:lncRNA from 1 species
AAGAUGUGUAUAUUGUAAUUACUAAUUCUCUUUACCCUCUUUUCUGUGAAAGGACUACAGAAACUUGACUUUUAAAAAUUAGCGUGUGAAAAGUCAUUCUCUCUCUCUCUCUCCCCCUGCCCCCAGAUCCCCUCUUCUCUUGCUUUGAACUACAUUCUUGUAUUCACUCUGCAACUUUUUAUUGUGAGCCUUGUGGUGUGUUGUUGAAAAUACAGCCGAGGACGGUUUUAUUCUUAUUGAACUGAGGGCCCUAAUGAGAGAUGCAGAUGCUAUGCUGUUUCUAGUGGGGUUUUAAUUUUGUUUGUUUGCUUGUUUUUAAGAAUACCUUCUGCACAUAUAUCUGUAAUAUAUAUUCUCUCAUUAAAAAAAAUACAAAUGGUGACUUA